rnacentral:rRNA from 1 species
GAUGAACGCUGGCGGCGUGCCUAAUACAUGCAAGUCGAGCGAACAGACGAGGAGCUUGCUCCUCUGACGUUAGCGGCGGACGGGUGAGUAACACGUGGAUAACCUACCUAUAAGUCUGGGAUCACUUCGGGAAUCCGGCGCUAAUCCCGGAUAAUCUAUUGAACCGCAUGGUUCAAUAGUGAAAGACGGUUUUGCUGUCACUUCUAGAUGGAUCCGCGCCGCAUUAGCUAGUUGUUAAGGUAACGGCUUACCAAGGCAACUAUGCGUAGCCGACCGACGAGGGGGAUCGCCCACAUGGGAAGGGAGACAGGGUCAAUACGACUAAGGGAGGGACCAGUAGGGAACCUGCCGCAGUGGGGGAAAGCCUGACGGAGCAACGCCGCGCGAGUGAUGAAGGUGUUCGGAGCGGAAAACCCUGUUAUGAGGGAAGAACAAAUGUGUAAGGAACUAUGCACGUCGUGACGGUACCUAAUCAGAAAGCCACGGCUAACUACGUG